GAUGAACGCUGGCGGCGUGCCUAAUACAUGCAAGUCGAGCGACCAGACGAGGAGCUUGCUCCUCUGACGUUAGCGGCGGACGGGUGAGUAACACGUGGAUAAGCUACCUAUCAGACUGGGAUAACUUCGGGAAACCGGUGCUAAUACCGGAUAAUAUAUUGAACCGCAUGGUUCAAUAGUGAAAGACGGUUUUGCUGUCACUUAUAGAUGGAUCCGCGCCGCAUUAGCUAGUUGGUAAGGUAACGGCUUACCAAGGCAACGAUGCGUAGCCGACCUGAGAGGGUGAUCGGCCACACUGGAACUGAGACACGGUCCAGACUCCUACGGGAGGCAGCAGUAGGGAAUCUUCCGCAAUGGGCGAAAGCCUGACGGAGCCACGCCGCGUGAGUGAUGAAGGUCUUCGGAUCGUAAAACUCUUUUAUUAGGGAAGAACAAAUGCAUAAGUAUCUAUGCACGUCUUGACGGUACCUAAUCAGAAAGCCACGGCUAACUACGUG
rnacentral:rRNA from 1 species